rnacentral:rRNA from 1 species
AUGUCGGCCCUGGCAGCGAUACCUCCGUCUAACCGUGCGGCUGACGAUGCGUCGGCAGUAGCUCGCCGUCACAGACGGCGACGAACCUCCGGGACAUGGUGUGGAUGUUGGCGCGAGGGAGAUGUUGAGCUUGGUUUAGAGGUCCCUGAUGGCAGCCCUAGUCCUCUCGAUGGCAAACGGCUCCGCACUGACGAUGCGGCGGCAGUAGCUCGCCGUCACAGACGGCGACGACCGUCCGGGACACGGUGUGGAUGUUGGCGCGAGGGAGAUGUUGAGCUUGGUUUAGAGGUCCCUGAUGGCAAUCCUAGUCCUCUCGAUGGCAAACGGCUCCGCACUGUUGGCGUCCUAGUUCCUCGGCUUCCUUGCCUUGUGGCUCUGAAAGAGCUGGAAUGGCUCCGGCAAAGCUUUACAGAUGCCGACUUGCUCGGCGGCGGCGUCACCCUCAACAUCCCCUUUCAGAGCAGUUCGUUGAACUGUCUAUGCCAUAGGAAAGAGCCAACAAUUAGAAACAAGGAAAUACUGGUGAAGAUAGAAAACCUGCUUCCGGUUCUUCUUUUCUGCAAGGACUUUUCCUCAGCAAACAUUUGUAACACUGGUUAUAAUUAUUUCAGUUCUUAA